ensembl:lncRNA
AUUGUUAAACCAAAUAAGUGAGUUGGAGUCUAAGAACCGUUUAAUACAUAUCGAAAUUGAAGAGUUAAAAACAACCGAAAAGGAGUUACAAAAAAAUGAAAAAGAUGUAAUAAUAUAUAUAUAUAUAUAUCUAUUUAUCUAUCCAUCUUUUAUAAAUUUUGUUCUAAUUAUUCAAAACAGCUUUUUUCUACUCACAUAAUUCUUAUUUUAUUUUUUACUAUGUGUCCCUUUAUUAUUAUUUUUUCCUUUUUUUUUUAAACUACAUUUAUUUUUAUCAUACAUAAACUUUAUGUCUGUCCAGCUCAUAACAGAGAUCGAAAGUGUCUGUAAGCAGAUAAAAUGUAUGGAAAAGGAAGAAAUUGAAUUGGUGAGCUUAUGUUAAUAAUUUUUUUUUUUUUGUUUAUACAUGGUUAUAUAUAUGUGAUUGUGCCUUAAAAAAAAAAGAUAUAAUCACAUUUUUAAUUAUAUAUAUAUUUUUUAUUUACUAGAAUAAUGACAUAUCAUGUGUUAACUUAAUGUGCAAAAAUGUUGAAGCAACAUUACAUAAUGAGUUCGUAAAAGUUGAAAUAGCAGGUUAAAAUACAUCACUGGUUGUGUUACUAAACAUGCAUAUAUAUAUAUAUAUAUAUAUAUAUAUAUACACGUACAUAUGUUUAGAUGUAGACUUGCUUAUUUGUUUAUGUAAUGUUAUAGUUUUUUGUCUUGUAUUUUAGUACAUAUAAAAAAAAUUGAACAAUGUUGCGAUCAUCAAAAUUCAAUAAGUAAAAAUGUGUAUUUUUUGUUUUUUUUUAAUGUUAGUAGUAAUAAAAAAAAAAAAAAAAAAAAAAAAAAAAAAACAGUUUUAAUACUUACAUAUAUUUUUUAUGCCCUUGUAUAUGUAGCUCAAAAAAUGAAUCAAGUGGAAUAUAAUGAAGAAGAAAAAAAAAACAUAAACUCCGAUUUAGUUAAAUGUGAUAAUGAAAUAAAACAGUACUUAAAUAACAUGAAUACCAAUAAUGAUGAUAUCACAGAAUUAAAAGAAAUAAAAGAUAAGCAUUUUCUUUUAAAACAUAUUUCUAUAGAUGAUUUGUAUGAAAUUUACGAGGUAUCAAAUUUACAACAAUAUAUAUAUAUAUAUUAUGUCUACGAUAUAUUACUUAUGGGAAGAAUAAAGUUAAUAAUCGUACUAGUUUAUUUAUUUAUUUUUUUUUUUUUAAUUGUAUAUAUAAACACAAACGUUAUAGUACAUAUAUAUAUGCACAUACCUAUGCACGUGUAUAUAUAUUUUCUAUUUAGGAAACAAAAGAAAAAUAUCAAGAAAACGCAUUCAAGAACCAAUGCCAACAAAUUGCUAUUGUUAAUUACAAAACCCAUUCUUAUUUUUGCAAUCCGACACACCUACUACAUAUGGCGUAUCUUCUUAUAGAAAAAGUAAAAGAUAAUAAUGAUGACCCUUACUUUAAUGUAAGUAAAAUAUGUAUCUGUAUAUGUUCAUACAAAGUAGUACUACGUUACAUAAUCAUUAGAGUGAAUACAACCAAAGUAUGUAAUUAUAUAAAUACGUAGGAAUACAUAAUAAAAAUUCUUUAUGUAAGUAUUAAAACUUUUUU